UAGAAUCGCCCAUCUAGGUGUUACUGUGAUGGGAUCUUUUUAGAUGUGAUUAUAGUCCAAAAUCAACUGAACAUAAGUAAAAAAGAUUAUCCUAGAUAAUUUGAUUGGGCUUCAUUUAGUUAAAAGGUCUGAAAGCAGCUGAGGCUUCCCAGAGGAAGAAAAUUUGCUUGCAGACCGGCAGUUUCGUCCCAUUCCAGAGAGUUCCAGCUCGCCUUUCCUGACAGCCAGCUCUCCACAUUCCACACUUGUCUAGAGCCUUCCACAAUCCUGUGAGCCAGUCUCUUACAGCCUCUUCUCUCUAGAAAAAUACAUAACUUCCCAUCACCUAAAAAGCUCCAAAACCUUACUCUGUGUCUCGGAAUCCUGGAUGGCCACCAUCUGUGUCUGUGCUGCUGGUCUUAAAACGUGUUAUGGAACAGAGCACUCAACUACUCAACACUUCUCAUGGUGAACUUUCUGACCUGCUUCCAAAUACAAAAAGAGAAUCACACCCUUGCUUUCUCAGUGCUAACUGAAAAUGUACUGCUGCUUUUUGAUUAACAUUAAAAUUAUAUUUUUAUUUAAUUUUCAA